rnacentral:pre_miRNA from 1 species
UGGGGUGACCAGUGGUCCUGGUUUGCCUGGGACUGAGGGGUUUCAUGGGAUGUAGAAAUUUUAAGACUAAAGCUGGUACAGGCCUGGGCAAACCAGGACAGUUGGUCACCCUAACAUAAA